rnacentral:rRNA from 1 species
GACGAACGCUGGCGGCGUGCUUAACACAUGCAAGUCGAACGGAAAGACCCUGCUUUUGUGGGGUGCUCGAGUGGCGAACGGGUGAGUAACACGUGAGUAACCUGCCCUUGACUUUGGGAUAACUUCAGGAAACUGGGGCUAAUACCGGAUAGGAGCUCCUGCUGCAUGGUGUGGGUUGGAAAGUUUCGGCGGUUGGGGAUGGACUCGCGGAUUAUCGGCUUGUUGGUGGGGUAGUGGCUUACCAAGGCUUUGACGGGUAGCCGGCCUGAGAGGGUGACCGGCCACAUUGGGACUGAGAUACGGCCCAGACUCCUACGGGAGGCAGCAGUGGGGAAUAUUGCACAAUGGGCGGAAGCCUGAUGCAGCAACGCCGCGUGCGGGAUGACGGCCUUCGGGUUGUAAACCGCUUUCGCCUGUGACGAAGCGUGAGUGACGGUAAUGGGUAAAGAAGCACCGGCUAACUACGUG